rnacentral:pre_miRNA from 14 species
UUGUGCACAUGUAUUGAAAGAUCCCCGAAGGGAGACCCUUACUCAAGUCUUGGGAAAUCUCGAACUCCAGACACAGAGAGACCA